GGUAUGACUGGUUUUACUGAUUCCUCCCUCUUGAAGAACUGUAAUGUCAUUAAUUUGGUGUUGCAGGGAAACAGGACUGUUACUUUGAAAAAAUUAGAGUGUUUAAAGCAGGCUAACGCUUGAAUACAUUAGCAUGGAAUAAUGAAAUAGGACGUUCGAUCCUAUUUGUUGGUUUCUAGGAUUGACGUAAUGAUUAAUAGGGAUAGUUGGGGGCAUUAGUAUUCAAUUGUCAGAGGUGAAAUUCUUGGAUUUAUUGAAGACUAACUACUGCGAAAGCAUUUGCCAAGGAUGUUUUCAUUAAUCAAGAACGAAAGUUAGGGGAUCGAAGACGAUCAGAUACCGUCGUAGUCUUAACCAUAAACUAUGCCGACUAGGGAUCGGAUGAUGUUAAUUUUUUAAUGACUCAUUCGGCGCCUUACG
rnacentral:rRNA from 1 species